rnacentral:rRNA from 1 species
ACGUAGGUGGCGAGCGUUGUCCGGAAUUACUGGGUGUAAAGGGAGCGCAGGCGGGGACUUAAGUUGGAUGUGAAAUAUCCGGGCUCAACCCGGGGGGUGCAUCCAAAACUGGGACUCUUGAGUGAAGUAGAGGCAGGCGGAAUUCCUAGUGUAGCGGUGAAAUGCGUAGAUAUUAGGAGGAACACCAGUGGCGAAGGCGGCCUGCUGGGCUUUAACUGACGCUGAGGCUCGAAAGCGUGGGGAGCAAACAGGAUUAGAUACCCUGGUAGUCCACGCUGUAAACGAUGAUUACUAGGUGUGGGGGGACUGACCCCUUCCGUGCCGGAGUUAACACAAUAAGUAAUCCACCUGGGGAGUACGGCCGCAAGGUUG